GCCGGCCGCCAGAGCGGCACUGGGUCCACGACGCGUGGGAGGUGACGCCUGAGAGGAGUGUGCCGGGGACACCGCGCUGGCCGCUGCUGUCUCGCCAGCCAGACGGAUCGACUCCAGACGGCGCCGUGGUGGAGCCGCUAAUCGCCGCCGCCCAGCACUACGCGCGCGUCUGCAGGCUUGUCGCCAUCAUGAGCAGCAUCAGCAGGGUGCCGUUACUCUUUGCACACGCCGCUGCUAUGUCGGCUAUUCUUCUCUCUUCAUAUUACAUGAUCGCUGCAGCGAACGGCCCACCAUCAGAGGGCAAGCUGGCGAAGGUGGUGGGUCCCUGCACCUAUGUAAGCCUCUUCCUUUUCCGCAUCGUUUGGAUGUCUAUGGACGGCACCUUCAUGAUCGAAAAGAACGCUGCACUAACGGACUCACUGAUGGAUAUGAAUUGGCUAGUAAUGACGCAG